rnacentral:tRNA from 1 species
GGUUCGUUGGCCAAGCGGUUAAGACGCCGCCCUCUCACGGCGGAAACACGGGUUCGAUUCCCGUACGGACUG